rnacentral:rRNA from 1 species
CCUACGGGAGGCAGCAGUAGGGAAUAUUGCUCAAUGGGGGAAACCCUGAAGCAGCAACGUCGCGUGGAGGAUGACGGUUUUCGGAUUGUAAACUCCUUUUGUUAGAGAAGAUAAUGACGGUAUCUAACGAAUAAGCACCGGCUAACUCCGUGCCAGCAGCCGCGGUAAUACGGAGGGUGCAAGCGUUACUCGGAAUCACUGGGCGUAAAGCGCGCGUAGGCGGGAUAGCAAGUCAGAUGUGAAAUCCUAUGGCUUAACCAUAGAACUGCAUUUGAAACUGUUGUUCUAGAGUAUGGGAGAGGUAGGUGGAAUUCUUGGUGUAGGGGUAAAAUCCGUAGAUAUCAAGAAGAAUACUCAUUGCGAAGGCGACCUGCUAGAGCAUAACUGACGCUGAUGCGCGAAAGCGUGGGUAGCGAACAGGAUUAGAUACCCCAGUAGUC